GAAGGUUUUGUCGAUCCUAAGAAUGCUGACAAGGUGUGCAAGCUCCAACGCUCGAUUUAUGGGCUGGUGCAAGCAUCUCGGAGUUGGAACAUUCGCUUUGAUGAGAUGAUCAAAGCGUUUGGGUUUAUGCAGACUUAUGGAGAAGCCUGCAUUUACAAGAAAGUGAGUGGGAGCUCUGUAGCAUUUCACAUAUUGUAUGUGGAUGACAUACUGUUGAUGGGAAAUGAUAUAGAAUUCUUGAAAAGCAUAAAGGCCUACUUGAACAAGUGUUUUUCAAUGAAGGACCUUGGAGAAGCUGCUUAUAUAUUAGGCAUCAAGAUCUAUAGAGAUAGAUCGAGACGCCUCAUUGGUCUUUCACAGAGUACGUACCUUGACAAGAUAUUGAAGAAGUUCAAACUGGAUCAGUCAAAGAAGGGGUUCUUGCCUGUAUUGCAAGGUACGAGAUUGAGCACGGCUCAAUGCCCGACCAUGACAGAAGAUAGAGAAAAUAUGAGUGUCGUCCCCUAUGCCUCGGCCAUAGGGUCUAUCAUGUAUGCUAUGCUGUGUACCAGACCUGAUGUAAACCUUGCCGUAAGUUUGGUAGGAAGGUACCAAAGUAAUCCCGGCAUGGAACACUGGACAGCGGUCAAGAAUAUCCUGAAGUACCUGAAAAGGACCAAGGAAAUGUUU
rnacentral:rRNA from 1 species